UGUCAAGAGCGUUAGGCGUCAAUUUGGCGGGCAGAUUUCUUUUGCCUUAUGAAAGGUGAAGGAAAAUG
rnacentral:sRNA from 1 species